rnacentral:rRNA from 1 species
UACGAAGGGGGCGAGCGUUGUUCGGAUUUACUGGGCGUAAAGGGCGCGCAGGCGGCUCAUUUUGUCAGGCGUGAAAGCCCCGGGCUUAACCUGGGACUGCGUUUGAGACGGAUGGGCUAGAGUUCGGGAGAGGAGAGUGGAAUUCCCAGUGUAGAGGUGAAAUUCGUAGAUAUUCGCAAGAACACCAGUGGCGAAGGCGGCUCACUGGCCCGAUACUGACGCUGAUGCACGAAAGCGUGGGGAGCAAACAGG